UCGGGAAUUUUGGGCAAUGGGCGAAAGCCUGACCCAGCAACGCCGCGUGAAGGAUGAAGUAUUUCGGUAUGUAAACUUCGUAAGAAUAGGAAGAAUAAAUGACGGUACUAUUUGUAAGGUCCGGCUAACUACGUGCCAGCAGCCGCGGUAAUACGUAGGGACCAAGCGUUGUUCGGAUUUACUGGGCGUAAAGGGCGCGUAGGCGGUGUGUCAAGUCAGUUGUGAAAUCUCCGAGCUUAACUCGGAACGGUCAACUGAUACUGUCACACUAGAGUACAGAAGGGGCAAUCGGAAUUCUUAGGUGUAGCGGUGAAAUGCGUAGAUAUCAAGAGGAACACCUGAGGCGAAGGCGGGUUGCUGGGCUGAUACUGACGCUGAGGCGCGAAAGCUAGGGUAGCAAACGGGAUUAGAUACCCCCGUAGUCCCUGAGCGGGCUGGGCAAG
rnacentral:rRNA from 1 species